UUUGUAUUGAGCUGAACGAACAUUACGGGCCAACGGUUUCUCGCCGAAGCGCCCCCAAAAGGCCAACCCCCUCUUCCGAAACGGCGGCUGCCGUGAAGUUCACCGGCGGCGACCUCCGCCGCAGGCCCGUGCGCUCUCUCCUCUGCCUCUACCGUCAAUACUCAACUCGUAUCUCCGUCUACUUCGGUGGAGAAGCUGCGGUGGCCUCCUCGGCCGUGGCCGGCGAGUAGCGACGGAAGCCGCCUCGGGUGGUUUAUUAGGAGUGCGAGGGCUCAGGCGUGCUGCGCGGCGGCGGCGGAACCGACUGUUGAUACGGCCUCGAUCUCGGCCGCUUGACGCGCUGCCGCCGAUCACCGACCUCCGCACCCGCUACCCGAGUAAUUGAAGAAUUUUGGUCACAUCGAAGAGAGAACUCACCUGACGACCUCAAAUAUCAUGUUCAAGGUGGAGAAGUUGAGCGGAUCGUUUCUGAGUCUUCUCCUCUCAGUGAUACAGACAACGAUCACAAAGACAAUGUUACACAUGAGUGGUGAAAACGCUAAGUUUUGCACCAACGAUCCUCUUCUGUGCUCCAUGUUGUCAUCAGUGGUUUUAGUAUCUCCAUUGGGUGGUGCAAAUGUUGCUGAUGAUGGCAAAUACCUGAGACCAAGCGAAAUGUCAGGCAUGUAUCAUAUGAUUCUAAAACAAGUAGCCUUAGUCAAAUGACAUGAAACAUCAAUUAAUAAAGUGCCAUGGAGUCAUGAACUUA